rnacentral:rRNA from 1 species
UGAGGCGUGGCUUCCGGAGCUAACGCGUUAAGUCGACCGCCUGGGGAGUACGGCCGCAAGGUUAAAACUCAAAUGAAUUGACGGGGGCCCGCACAAGCGGUGGAGCAUGUGGUUUAAUUCGAUGCAACGCGAAGAACCUUACCUGGUCUUGACAUCCAGAGAAUCCUGCAGAGAUGCGGGAGUGCCUUCGGGAACUCUGAGACAGGUGCUGCAUGGCUGUCGUCAGCUCGUGUUGUGAAAUGUUGGGUUAAGUCCCGCAACGAGCGCAACCCUUAUCCUUUGUUGCCAGCGGUUCGGCCGGGAACUCAAAGGAGACUGCCGGUGAUAAACCGGAGGAAGGUGGGGAUGACGUCAAGUCAUCAUGGCCCUUACGACCAGGGCUACACACGUGCUACAAUGGCGCAUACAAAGAGAAGCGACCUCGCGAGAGCAAGCGGACCUCAUAAAGUGCGUCGUAGUCCGGAUUGGAGUCUGCAACUCGACUCCAUGAAGUCGGAAUCGCUAGUAAUCGUGGAUCAGAAUGCCACGGUGAAUACGUUCCCGGGCCUUGUACACACCGCCCGUCACACCAUGGGAGUGGGUUGCAAAAGAAGUAGGUAGCUUAACCUUCGGGAGGGCGCUUACCACUUUGUGAUUCAUGACUGGGGUGAAGUCGUAACAAGGUAACCGUAGGGGAACCUGCGGUUG